UACAGAGGUCCCAAGCGUUGUUCGGAUUCACUGGGCGUAAAGGGUGCGUAGGCGGUCGGGUAAGUCUGAUGUGAAAUCUCACAGCUUAACUGUGAAACUGCAUUGGAUACUAUUCGGCUUGAGAGUUGGAGGGGGGACUGGAAUUCUUGGUGUAGCAGUGAAAUGCGUAGAUAUUCGGAAGAACACCAGUGGCGAAGGCGACUUACUGGACACAUAUUGACGCUGAGGUGCGAAAGCGUGGGGAGCAAACAGG
rnacentral:rRNA from 1 species